UCUGACUUGCGCAAGGUUUGAUCUGUAAUGCACUGAUACUCACCUAUGUCGACUGAAACGAAACAAAAUAUCUAUGUUGUAUUAAUUGUACCUUAGCUUUUACAAAUGAUUCAUCCACACUGAAUUAUGGAAGACCAAACAACUCCUGUUCGUGAACAGCACAUGUUCAACAUUGUCAAUCUUCAGCGACAAUGUUGGAAAGACAUAAGGAGUGUCCAACAAUGACAAGCUCACUGUCAGACAAUGCAGGUGUACCCACUCCUGAGGAGCUGAUCUCCAUCUACUGCCGGGGGAUGCCAUCCUCUGCCUCAGCUCAACUUCUACCUGGCCCUCUCUGUCUUUAAGAUGGCAGGGAUCGCUCAGGGCAUCUAUGUCCGCCACCUCCUGGGCAAUGCCAGUGCUCCGAAUGCUGCCCAGUUUGGCCAGAGUGUGGAGCCGUUGGCCCAGGUUGGGAUGCAGAUUGCAGAAAGUUGGUAAGGACAUGCCUAGAGAGAGAACUCCAUCAUGACUCUGCUGUUCCUUAUUCAGACUGACUCAUUGUGCUGACCCUGCCAGGAAAUACCAGAAACUCUGUUUGGGUUCAAUGUGAGGAGGUGGUGGCCCACUGGAAAGCAGAGUGUGGCCUGGCCAUAGACUAGACUCUCCUGCUGACCCUGCAUUCUGCUCACACCCUGGAUACGCUGGGCAGCAGGACCGCCGGGAAACAGCUAACACACACCUAAUUAGCAGAACAAACCGUGUAAUUGUCUCCCAAAUUGUCUCCCAAACUGUUACGUGACAGUACUAAAUAGACUGGUAUAUAUAUACUGGUGCCCCGUGUAUAUAGACAAGAUUCAUUAUGUAUUAUUACUUUUAUUAUUACAUUUUGUACUUUUCUAUUAUUUCUCUAUUUUCUUUCUCUCUGUAUUGUUGGGAAGGGCCCGUAACUAAGCAUUUCACUGUUAGUCUACACCUGUUGUUUACGAAGCAUGUGACGAAUCAAUUUUUUAUUUCAUUGAUUUGAUACUAAAUGUAAUAUCGCCUAAAGACUGUGCCUGUUUGAAACAGACCCCCUCGGUAUGUAAAUGUGUGUCUGAAACCGUCAGAAAAUGUCAAUGAAUUGUGAAUAUGAAUUACAGCCUUCUGCUUCCUGCUUGGAAAGGUCAGUCUGA